rnacentral:rRNA from 1 species
UACGGAGGGCGCGAGCGUUGACCGGAUUCACUGGGCGUAAAGCGCGUGUAGGCUGUCUGGCAAGUCUGGUGUGAAAGCCCGGGGCUCACCCCCGGAAGUGCACUGGAAACUGCCAGACUCGAGUCCCGGAGAGGAGAGUAGAAUUCCUGGUGUAGCGGUGAAAUGCGUAGAUAUCAGGAGGAAUACCGGUGGCGAAGGCGGCUCUCUGGACGGUGACUGACGCUGAGACGCGAAAGCGUGGGGAGCAAACAGG